AUUGAAAACCAGCAUAACCCCCUGCCCAGCCUCCACCAAGAAAUGAAAAGAAUUGAUAGCGAAGAGACGCCUUGUUUUGAGCGCUGGCAUCCAGCUCCCCCUUUCCAAGGACCCAGCUCCCCGUCUGGGAAUACAGCAGCUCCCCCCACCAAAAGGACGGAGGCCCCAGGGAGAGGAAGUGCUGGCUGCCACCCCAGCCCCGAGCCUCGCAGAGGGAAGUGGGAGCCGGAGCCCAGGCGCUGGCCUGGCGGGAAGGCCUGGGUGCCCGGCGUCCUGGGCAGCUGGGUGGGAAUCCCCCCAGGGACAGAAAGUGCCACCUGCAGCCACCACUGGGUGCAGGGCAGGUGGCCUCCCGCUCCCAUCGGCUACCGCCUCAGGAUUACCCAGAUCAGGCUCCUGGGGGAAACCCAUUUGGCUGCACAAUUCAUGGAAUAAUCGCCUUGGACAGGACCUCAGAGACCUGUAAACCCUUCCAGAUCCAUGCUCCAAGAACAGGACCCUAAAUGAGGCACGACUACGGGCCCCGCCACCCACACUGCUCCCCUCAAGCUGGCAUCGCCUCCCAGGCGCCCCGGACCAGCACCACCCGGCUCCCAUCCGCCGCAGGACCCAGCGUGCAGACGCAGGUCUGCUAACAUUCUGGAUUUUUCCUCCUGGCUGUCGCUGUGCAGUGGAGAUUGCUCCCAACAGCAGGAGAGAGGAUGUUUGCACACGCUAAGAAGCCUCCCCACAUUCCAGGGUCCUGAAUUUCAAGCCGAGCUCAGUCCUUCUGGUGUUCAAGUUCGUUCAAUGUUGGCAAAAUUCAACUUCCUGUUUACAAGGGGGUGAGCGGGGAGGGGGCGAGGAAAGCCUUUUAAGAGAUUCCACAGGCGUCAGCCACCAGCAAGGGCUCGUGAAGCAUGUGGAUGAAUUGAGUGCGGAUGAAUCAAAAACAGGAGGCCUGAGUCUCCCUUGGAACAUACCCAGGCUUAAUAAUUAAACGAAAAAUAACUUGGCAAGGAGAUGUGGGGUUUUGCUGAACCCAAAACAUUUGAAAAGAUGUUUGACUAAUCCCAGCCGUGGGCGGGGACCAUCCUUUUUGAAAGGGCCGUGGUGGGUGUUAAACAGCUACAGGCCACACGCUGGAAACCCACAGGGCCCGGCGACUUUCAGUUUUCGCCUCCCCGUGAACAUCGAGGAAUCAAUUCACCUGGGGAGGGGGCAGAUUUUUCCCAAAGAUCUCAAGUUGUCGGCUCCCCCGGGACGAACGUCUUGACUUGGCCGUUCUCACACUUUAGCAAGCGGUCUCCGCUGGGGUGCUGAAUCCUGAGGGACUUUGGAAGAAAUAUUUUGGACGAUUCCAUUGCUUUUGAGACUAGAAGGCUUUUGAUUUUGAUUGACAAAGGAAAAUAAAAGCAGAAAUC
rnacentral:lncRNA from 1 species